rnacentral:rRNA from 1 species
CGUGGGCAGCUUACCAUGCAGUCGAGCGGUAACAGAGAGUACCUUGCUACUUUGCUGACGAGCGGCAGACGGGUGAGUAGUGCUUGGGAAUAUGCCUUAUGGUGGGGGACAACAGUUGGAAACGACUGCUAAUACCGCAUAACGUCUACGGACCAAGGGGGGGGAUCUUCGGACCUCUCGCCAUUUGAUUACCCCAAGUGAGAUUAUCUAGUUGGUAAGGUAAAGGCUUACCAGGGCGACGAUCUCUAGCUGGUUUGAGAGGAUGAUCACCCACACUGGGACUGAGACACGGCCCACACUCCUACGGGAGGCAGCAGUGGGGAAUAUUGCACAAUGGGCGAAAGCCUGAUGCACCCAUGCCGCGUGUGUGAAGAAGGCCUUCGGGUUGUAAAGCACUUUCAUUUGUGAGGAAAGGGGUGUAGUUAAUAGCUGCAUCCUGUGACGUUAGCAACAGAAAAAGCACCGGCUAACUUCGUGCCAGCACCCGCGGUAACAAGGGCGAAUUCUUUUAAACCUGCAAGACUACUCCCUUUAGUGAGGGUUAAUUCUGAGCUUGGCGUAAUCAUGGUCU